rnacentral:tRNA from 1 species
GGAGGGGUCGCAUAGUCUGGUCGAGUGCGCGCGUCUCGAAAACGCGUAGGGGUUCUGCUCCUCGUGGGUUCAAAUCCCACCCCCUCCGCCA